UGUGGAAUAUUGCACAAUGGGCGAAAGCCUGAUGCAGCGACGCCGCGUGAGGGAUGACGGCCUUCGGGUUGUAAACCUCUUUCAGCAGGGACGAAGCGCAAGUGACGGUACCUGCAGAAGAAGCACCGGCUAACUACGUGCCAGCAGCCGCGGUAAUACGUAGGGUGCAAGCGUUGUCCGGAAUUACUGGGCGUAAAGAGUUCGUAGGCGGUUUGUCGCGUCGUUUGUGAAAACCAGCAGCUCAACUGCUGGCUUGCAGGCGAUACGGGCAGACUUGAGUACUGCAGGGGAGACUGGAAUUCCUGGUGUAGCGGUGAAAUGCGCAGAUAUCAGGAGGAACACCGGUGGCGAAGGCGGGUCUCUGGGCAGUAACUGACGCUGAGGAACGAAAGCGUGGGUAGCGAACAGG
rnacentral:rRNA from 1 species